rnacentral:rRNA from 1 species
UACGGGGGGAGCAAGCGUUGUUCGGAUUUACUGGGCGUAAAGGGCGCGUAGGCGGCCACCGCAAGUCGGUUGUGAAAUCUCUGGGCUUAACCCAGAAAGGUCAACCGAUACUGCGGGGCUAGAGUGCAGAAGGGGCAACUGGAAUUCCCGGUGUAGCGGUGAAAUGCGUAGAGAUCGGGAAGAACAUCGGUGGCGAAAGCGCUCUACUGGACCGCAACUGACACUCAGGGACGAAAGCUAGGGGAGCGAAUGGG